rnacentral:lncRNA from 1 species
AUGCAGUUUGCAGUUUGGAGGGUGGCCUCUCUGCUGGCCUCUGAAGUGUGUGCUUGGAUGGGUUCAAAGGCUGGCUCAGUGGGCACUGGUUGUCCAACAUCAUCUGUGGGAUACACGGUUGGUGCAGUGGUUUCAUUGACAACCUCUGGUAUAAUGACUUCAGAGUCACUCUUGGUUAAAAGUCCAGGUAUUUCCACAACUUCCAAAACUUCAUCAUGGAGGCUUGUACUUGGAGUUUCUGUGGGAUAGAAAAGAAACCAACACAUAUUCUUUCAAAGUCGCUUCUCCAAUCUUUGCCUGUCAUGUGACAGAAUCCUAGUCAUCUUUAAAAUGUCAGCUCCUCACUUACCAUUUUAGAUUCUUUCCCCCCUAGUUCUCCUCCCUAUCCAGCCUUUGGGCAGACUUUGCUAUGAUCCUCAGUUUAUCAAGGUGCUUGAGUUUAAGGGUCUGUUGUGUGAGGUUCUCACUCAAAUGGGAGCACUCAGAAGGGUGAAAUCAACAUUUGCUUAAAGUUCAUGGAUUUCAUAACCACUGCUUCCAAAGCAGCUUGAAUAGAAAAAUGAACACAUCCUCCAUUAGAAUGGGAGCUUUUUAAGGACAGAGACUUUGUCUUGCUUGCCUCCCCAUAUACAGUGCUCAGGAGUAUCUGUCACAUAGUAAUUGCUCAGAAAAUAGUUUUUUAUUUUUUUUCAAACUGAACAGUAGAAAAAAUAGAUGAUGGAGACUUUUUCCAGUAAUGCAGCUAGGAAAUGGACUCUUAUCAAAGACAAAUUUGAAACUGGAUACUGUACGAAAUCAAGAAGAAAUCCUAAAUUUAUCUAAGAAUUUAUAAUAUAAUGAGGAACAGUAGAGCUGAAAUCUAUAAGAGAGUGAAAAUCCAAAGCAGCCAGUCCAGAAUCCAGUUAUUUUUGCCCUGAGUGUAAUUUCACUCUUGAAGAAACAGCUGCAUACAUGAGCUUUAUUUUUUUGUCAGCUUCAUAGAAAGAAGGGGAUUUUUAUAAUGCUUGAAUUGAAUUUGUAACUCAAUUCCAUGAUAUCCAAUAUCUACAAUAUUGAAUUUUUAAAUUCAUUUAUGUGUUAUUUUGCUCCGUUUAUCUAGGUCUUCUUUUUCCUCAUUAAACUUUUUGUAGUCUACAAUGAACAAUCAUCUAUCUUUGUAAGAGCUUACAAUAAUUUCCUAAGAUUCCUAGUCAAUGUUUUAUGCUGUUAUCAGUUCAAUUUCAGUCGCUAGGUUGCGUCUGACUCUUUGCAACCCCAUGGACUGCAGCACACCAGGCUUCUCUGUC